GGGCAAUUGGUCUAGUGGUAUGAUUUCCGCUUCGCAUGCUUCUUUGUCGAGCAUCCCUGUGGAAGGUCACCGGUUCAAUCCCGGUAUUGUCCA